GGAUACCCUAAGUUAAAUUCAUGGUACAGCAUCUGCUUUGCAUGCAAAAGAUUCCAGGUUCAAUCCCUGGCAUCUCCA